AUGUAGUGUAGCAUGCCCGUUUGAUGAAUUACUCUGAUGAAUAUUUUAUAUUUAAUUACUUUUGGGUCCUGAUGAAUGACUGGAAGUAGUGAUGCUGCCCUUGU
rnacentral:pre_miRNA from 1 species